rnacentral:rRNA from 1 species
GACGAACGCUGGCGGCGUGCCUAAUACAUGCAAGUUGAGCGCUGAAGGUUGGUACUUGUACCAACUGGAUGAGCAGCGAACGGGUGAGUAACGCGUGGGGAAUCUGCCUUUGAGCGGGGGACAACAUUUGGAAACGAAUGCUAAUACCGCAUAAAAACUUUAAACACAAGUUUUAAGUUUGAAAGAUGCAAUUGCAUCACUCAAAGAUGAUCCCGCGUUGUAUUAGCUAGUUGGUGAGGUAAAGGCUCACCAAGGCGAUGAUACAUAGCCGACCUGAGAGGGUGAUCGGCCCCAUUGGGACUGGGACACGGCCCAAACUCCUACGGGAGGCAGCAGUAGGGAAUCUUCGGCAAUGGACGAAAGUCUGACCGAGCAACGCCGCGUGAGUGAAGAAGGUUUUCGGAUCGUAAAACUCUGUUGGUAGAGAAGAACGUUGGUGAGAGUGGAAAGCUCAUCAAGUGACGGUAACUACCCAGAAAGGGACGGCUAACUACGUG